AUUAGCUAGUUGGGGGGGUAAAGGCCUACCAAGGCGACGAUCCGUAACUGGUCUGAGAGGAUGAUCAGUCACACUGGAACUGAGACACGGUCCAGACUCCUACGGGAGGCAGCAGUGGGGAAUAUUGGACAAUGGGCGAAAGCCUGAUCCAGCCAUGCCGCGUGUGUGAAGAAGGUCUUCGGAUUGUAAAGCACUUUAAGUUGGGAGGAAGGGCAGUAAGUUAAUACCUUGCUGUUGUGACGUUACCAACAGAAUAAGCACCGGCUAACUUCGUGCCAGCAGCCGCGGUAAUACGAAGGGUGCAAGCGUUAAUCGGAAUUACUGGGCGUAAAGCGCGCGUAGGUGGUUCAGCAAGUUGGAUGUGAAAUCCCCGGGCUCAACCUGGGAACUGCAUCCAAAACUACUGAGCUAGAGUACGGUAGAGGGUGGUGGAAUUUCCUGUGUAGCGGUGAAAUGCGUAGAUAUAGGAAGGAACACCAGUGGCGAAGGCGACCACCUGGACUGAUACUGACACUGAGGGGCGAAAGCGUGGGGAGCAAACAGGAUUAGAUUCCCUGGUAGUCCACGCCGUAAACGAUGUCGACUAGCCGUUGGGAUCCUUGAGAUCUUAGUGGCGCAGCUAACGCGAUAAGUCGACCGCCUGGGGAGUACGGCCGCAAGGUUAAAACUCAAAUGAAUUGACGGGGGCCCGCACAAGCGGUGGAGCAUGUGGUUUAAUUCGAAGCAACGCGAAGAACCUUACCUGGCCUUGAC
rnacentral:rRNA from 1 species